GAUGAACGCUGGCGGCGUGCCUAAUACAUGCAAGUCGAGCGAACGGACGAGAAGCUUGCUUCUCUGAUGUUAGCGGCGGACGGGUGAGUAACACGUGGAUAACCUACCUAUAAGACUGGGAUAACUUCGGGAAACCGGAGCUAAUACCGGAUAAUAUUUUGAACCGCAUGGUUCAAAAGUGAAAGACGGUCUUGCUGUCACUUAUAGAUGGAUCCGCGCUGCAUUAGCUAGUUGGUAAGGUAACGGCUUACCAAGGCAACGAUGCAUAGCCGACCUGAGAGGGUGAUCGGCCACACUGGAACUGAGACACGGUCCAGACUCCUACGGGAGGCAGCAGUAGGGAAUCUUCUGCAAUGGGCGAAAGCCUGACGGAGCAACGCCGCGUGAGUGAUGAAGGUCUUCGGAUCGUAAAACUCUGUUAUUAGGGAAGAACAUAUGUGUAAGUAACUGUGCACAUCUUGACGGUACCUAAUCAGAAAGCCACGGCUAACUACGUG
rnacentral:rRNA from 1 species